rnacentral:rRNA from 1 species
AGUGAACGCUGGCGGUAGGCCUAACACUUGCAAGUCGAACGGCAGCACAGUAAGAGCUUGCUCUUACGGGUGGCGAGUGGCGGACGGGUGAGGAAUACAUCGGAAUCUACUUUUUCGUGGGGGAUAACGUAGGGAAACUUACGCUAAUACCGCAUACGACCUACGGGUGAAAGCAGGGGAUCUUCGGACCUUGCGCGAUUGAAUGAGCCGAUGUCGGAUUAGCUAGUUGGCGGGGUAAAGGCCCACCAAGGCGACGAUCCGUAGCUGGUCUGAGAGGAUGAUCAGCCACACUGGAACUGAGACACGGUCCAGACUCCUACGGGAGGCAGCAGUGGGGAAUAUUGGACAAUGGGCGCAAGCCUGAUCCAGCCAUACCGCGUGGGUGAAGAAGGCCUUCGGGUUGUAAAGCCCUUUUGUUGGGAAAGAAAAGCAGCAGGUUAAUACCCCGCUGUUCCGACGGUACCCAAAGAAUAAGCACCGGCUAACUUCGUG